UACGGAGGGUGCAAGCGUUAUCCGGAUUCACUGGGUUUAAAGGGUGCGUAGGUGGGCAGGUAAGUCAGUGGUGAAAUCUCCGAGCUUAACUCGGAAACUGCCGUUGAUAUUAUUUGUCUUGAAUAUUGUGGAGGUAAGCGGAAUAUGUCAUGUAGCGGUGAAAUGCUUAGAUAUGACAUAGAACACCCAUUGCGAAGGCAGCUUACUACGCAUAUAUUGACGCUGAGGCACGAAAGCGUGGGGAUCAAACAGG
rnacentral:rRNA from 1 species